UAGGGAAUCUUCCACAAUGGGCGAAAGCCUGAUGGAGCAACGCCGCGUGAGUGAUGAAGGCCUUCGGGUUGUAAAACUCUGUCAUUCGGGACGAACCGGAGUCUGAGGAAAUGCAGACUCUCUGACGGUACCGGAGGAGGAAGCCCCGGCUAACUACGUGCCAGCAGCCGCGGUAAUACGUAGGGGGCAAGCGUUGUCCGGAUUCACUGGGCGUAAAGCGCGCGCAGGCGGUGAUGUAAGUCUGAGGUGAAAACCCGAAGCUCAACUUCGGGACUGCCUUGGGUACUGCGUCACUUGAGGAUAGGAGAGGCAAGGGGAAUUCCACGUGUAGCGGUGAAAUGCGUAGAGAUGUGGAGGAACACCUGUGGCGAAGGCGCCUUGCUGGCCUAUUUCUGACGCUGAGGCGCGAAAGCGUGGGGAGCAAACAGG
rnacentral:rRNA from 1 species